rfam:Hordeum vulgare subsp. vulgare, WGS project CAJW01000000 data, contig: morex_contig_40607
AUAUUACUCCCUCCGUCCGGAAAUACUUGUACUAAAAAUGCAUAUGCAUUUUUAGUACAAGUAUUUCCGGACGGAGGGAGUAUAAG